GAGCACAGAAAGGAGAGUCGAAGAUUAGAAUGGUUCUAUCCCUCCUCCCUCCUGCUAUCACUUUUAUUUUUCCAACACAGGACAUGCCAUCAAAAGAAGAAUGCAUUUCGCAUCUUGAAUUCCAUAAGUCGCCAGCUGGCAGAGACACUGGAAAUUCAAAGACUGUUCUUCAUACUUGUGAUCUUGCAGAUGACCAAGUAACAGUGCAAGUCCUUCUAGUAUUCAACAGCUGCUCUCCAGAUGUUGUGCUUUCAUCUGUUCCAUAAUCUCAGCUUUUCAGGUUUAUCAAUCAACUGCCUCUGAUAGGCAUAUAAUUCAUUUGCAUAAUUAAAAUCAAUUGGAGGAGUAGCAUUUCAAAAUAAAUAAUGUGUUUUCCUCUUCA
rnacentral:lncRNA from 1 species